UUAAAUGGCCGCGAUAUUUUGAUCGUGCAAAGGUAGCAUAAUAAUUAGUUUCUUAAUUAGGAACUGGUAUGAAAGGUUAAACGAAAAAAAAACUGUCUCAAUUUAAUUUAAAUUAAAAUUUUAUAUUUAAGUAAAAAAGCUUAAAUAAUUUUAAAAGACGAGAAGACCCUAUAGAGUUUUAUAUUAAUAAUUUUAUUUUUUAGUUUAAGAAUUAAAUUUAAAAAUUUUUUUAUUAAUAUUUGGUUGGGGUGAUUGAAAAAUUUAUGAAACUUUUUUUAUUAUUUAACAUUAAUUUAUGAGUUUAUGAUCCAUAUGUUAUGAUUAAAAGAUUAAAUUACCUUAGGGAUAACAGCGUAAUUUUUUUUGAGAGUUCUUAUUGAAAAAAAAGUUUGCGACCUCG
rnacentral:rRNA from 1 species